rnacentral:rRNA from 1 species
AGUGAACGCUGGCGGUAGGCCUAACACAUGCAAGUCGAACGGCAGCACAGUAAGAGCUUGCUCUUACGGGUGGCGAGUGGCGGACGGGUGAGGAAUACAUCGGAAUCUACUUUUUCGUGGGGGAUAACGUAGGGAAACUUACGCUAAUACCGCAUACGACCUACGGGUGAAAGCAGGGGAUCUUCGGACCUUGCGCGAUUGAAUGAGCCGAUGUCGGAUUAGCUAGUUGGCGGGGUAAAGGCCCACCAAGGCGACGAUCCGUAGCUGGUCUGAGAGGAUGAUCAGCCACACUGGAACUAAGACACGGUCCAGACUCCUACGGGAGGCAGCAGUGGGGAAUAUUGGACAAUGGGCGCAAGCCUGAUCCAGCCAUACCGCGUGGGCGAAGAAGGCCUUCGGGUUGUAAAGCCCUUUUGUUGGGAAAGAAAAGCAGCAGGUUAAUACCCCGCUGUUCUGACGGUACCCAAAGAAUAAGCACCGGCUAACUUCGUG